GCCUCCUCUCUUUCAGAUCCAGAUUUAAAGAAAGAAAUUAUGAAAUAGAUAUGUGAUUCGAUCACAUAUUCAAUUUCAGCAUAUGUUCAAUUUUAGCAUAUGAAGUAGAUCCUAAUGUUUUAUAUUUUAUGCAUGCAUGAUACAAAUUAAAAAAUAUUUUAAUCUUCUAUUCUACUAUGAUAUUUUAAAAAAAAAAUUGAAACAUACAUGCAUGCCCCGACAUUGAAAUUCCAACACAGAU
rnacentral:lncRNA from 1 species